GCUCAUCACUUACAUUUCCACUGAACAUGCAUUGACACUUGUCUGCCACCAGUUCACAGCAUCCCCUCUGCCUUCCUUCAUCACGGACAUUUGAAGUACAGCUGCUCAGGUUCUCUAAAAAUGUGUGGCAAUAAAAAACUCUGAAAAAACCGAAAUCUGAUAUAAUGUCAUUCACCUUCUGGAGUCUCAAGAACAGAGGAAAACUUGCUGUCAGAAAAUUAUUGUAACAGGGCAAGAAGGAGAACCCAGGAAACAAUCAGCUAGUCAGCCUCACCUCCAUCCCUGCAAUGAUUGUGGAAAAGGUCAUUCUGCAGGUUGUCACCAAGAAUAUAAAAGGUCAGAAGGAAUAGUCAUCAGAAGGUUAUUAGGAAUAGUCAGCGUGGACUCUUCAAGAGGAAAUCAAGCUUAACCAGUUUAACAGCCUUCUGUGAUGACAUGGCAGGAUGGAUCGACGAGGAGAGGGCAGUGGAUUUGUUUACCUUGACUUCACAAAGGUUUUGCACUGUCUCCCAUGAUAUCCUUGCAGGUGGAUACAAAGAUGGAAUUAUGGUUAUUUAGCAGUUAAGACAGAGCUUUAAAAUGAAAAGAACUCCAUGUCUUCCAAAAAGCCAUAAUCAAAGCUAUAGCUAUGACAGUCA